UACGAAGGGGGCUAGCGUUGCUCGGAUUGACUGGGCGUAAAGGGCGCGUAGGCGGUUCGUACAGUCAGACGUGAAAUUCCUGGGCUCAACCUGGGGGCUGCGUUUGAUACGUGCGGACUUGAGUGCGGAAGAGGGUCGUGGAAUUCCCAGUGUAGAGGUGAAAUUCGUAGAUAUUGGGAGGAACACCGGUGGCGAAGGCGGCAUCCUGGACCAACACUGACGCUGAGGAGCGAAAGCCAGGGGAGCAAACGGGG
rnacentral:rRNA from 1 species